GGUUAAGCGACUAAGCGUACACGGUGGAUGCCCUGGCAGUCAGAGGCGAUGAAGGACGUGCUAAUCUGCGAAAAGCGCCGGCGAGGUGAUAUGAACCUUUGACCCGGCGAUGUCCGAAUGGGGAAACCCAGUGUGUUCCGACACACUAUCGUUAACUGAAUACAUAGGUUAACGAGGCGAACCGGGGGAACUGAAACAUCUAAGUACCCCGAGGAAAAGAAAUCAACCGAGAUUCCCCCAGUAGCGGCGAGCGAACGGGGAGCAGCCCGGAGUCUGAAUCAGCUUGUGUGUUAGUGGAACGGUCUGGAAAGUCCGACGGUACAGGGUGAUAGUCCCGUACACGAAAAUGCACAGGUUGUGAACUCGAAGAGUAGGGCGGGACACGUGGUAUCCUGUCUGAAUAUGGGGGGACCAUCCUCCAAGGCUAAAUACUCCUGACUGACCGAUAGUGAACCAGUACCGUGAGGGAAAGGCGAAAAGAACCCCGGCGAGGGGAGUGAAAAAGAACCUGAAACCGUGUACGUACAAGCAGUGGGAGCCUCUUUAUGGGGUGACUGCGUACCUUUUGUAUAAUGGGUCAGCGACUUAUAUUCUGUAGCAAGGUUAACCGAAUAGGGGAGCCGAAGGGAAACCGAGUCUUAACUGGGCGUUAAGUUGCAGGGUAUAGACCCGAAACCCGGUGAUCUAGCCAUGGGCAGGUUGAAGGUUGGGUAACACUAACUGGAGGACCGAACCGACUAAUGUUGAAAAAUUAGCGGAUGACCUGUGGCUGGGGGUGAAAGGCCAAUCAAACCGGGAGAUAGCUGGUUCUCCCCGAAAGCUAUUUAGGUAGCGCCUCGUGAACUCAUCUUCGGGGGUAGAGCACUGUUUCGGCUAGGGGGCCAUCCCGGCUUACCAACCCGAUGCAAACUACGAAUACCGAAGAAUGUUAUCACGGGAGACACACGGCGGGUGCUAACGUCCGUCGUGAAGAGGGAAACAACCCAGACCGCCAGCUAAGGUCCCAAAGUCAUGGUUAAGUGGGAAACGAUGUGGGAAGGCACAGACAGCCAGGAUGUUGGCUUAGAAGCAGCCAUCAUUUAAAGAAAGCGUAAUAGCUCACUGGUCGAGUCGGCCUGCGCGGAAGAUGUAACGGGGCUAAACCAUGCACCGAAGCUGCGGCAGCGACGCUUAUGCGUUGUUGGGUAGGGGAGCGUUCUGUAAGCCGUUGAAGGUGGCCUGUGAGGGUUGCUGGAGGUAUCAGAAGUGCGAAUGCUGACAUAAGUAACGAUAAAGCGGGUGAAAAGCCCGCUCGCCGGAAGACCAAGGGUUCCUGUCCAACGUUAAUCGGGGCAGGGUGAGUCGACCCCUAAGGCGAGGCCGAAAGGCGUAGUCGAUGGGAAACAGGUUAAUAUUCCUGUACUUGGUGUUACUGCGAAGGGGGGACGGAGAAGGCUAUGUUAGCCGGGCGACGGUUGUCCCGGUUUAAGCAUGUAGGCGGAGGUUCCAGGUAAAUCCGGUACCUUUUAACGCUGAGGUGUGAUGACGAGGCACUACGGUGCUGAAGUAACAAAUGCCCUGCUUCCAGGAAAAGCCUCUAAGCAUCAGGUAACACGAAAUCGUACCCCAAACCGACACAGGUGGUCAGGUAGAGAAUACCAAGGCGCUUGAGAGAACUCGGGUGAAGGAACUAGGCAAAAUGGUGCCGUAACUUCGGGAGAAGGCACGCUGAUAUGUAGGUGAAGCCCCUGCGGGUGGAGCUGAAAUCAGUCGAAGAUACCAGCUGGCUGCAACUGUUUAUUAAAAACACAGCACUGUGCAAACACGAAAGUGGACGUAUACGGUGUGACGCCUGCCCGGUGCCGGAAGGUUAAUUGAUGGGGUUAGCGGUAACGCGAAGCUCUUGAUCGAAGCCCCGGUAAACGGCGGCCGUAACUAUAACGGUCCUAAGGUAGCGAAAUUCCUUGUCGGGUAAGUUCCGACCUGCACGAAUGGCGUAAUGAUGGCCAGGCUGUCUCCACCCGAGACUCAGUGAAAUUGAACUCGCUGUGAAGAUGCAGUGUACCCGCGGCAAGACGGAAAGACCCCGUGAACCUUUACUAUAGCUUGACACUGAACACUGGUCCUUGAUGUGUAGGAUAGGUGGGAGGCUUUGAAGCGUGGACGCCAGUCUGCGUGGAGCCGACCUUGAAAUACCACCCUUUAAUGGCUGGUGUUCUAACGUAGACCCGUAAUCCGGGUUGCGGACAGUGUCUGGUGGGUAGUUUGACUGGGGCGGUCUCCUCCCAAAGAGUAACGGAGGAGCACGAAGGUUAGCUAAUCCUGGUCGGACAUCAGGAGGUUAGUGCAAUGGCAUAAGCUAGCUUGACUGCGAGAGUGACGGCUCGAGCAGGUGCGAAAGCAGGUCAUAGUGAUCCGGUGGUUCUGAAUGGAAGGGCCAUCGCUCAACGGAUAAAAGGUACUCCGGGGAUAACAGGCUGAUACCGCCCAAGAGUUCAUAUCGACGGCGGUGUUUGGCACCUCGAUGUCGGCUCAUCACAUCCUGGGGCUGAAGUAGGUCCCAAGGGUAUGGCUGUUCGCCAUUUAAAGUGGUACGCGAGCUGGGUUUAGAACGUCGUGAGACAGUUCGGUCCCUAUCUGCCGUGGGCGCUGGAGAAUUGAGGGGGGCUGCUCCUAGUACGAGAGGACCGGAGUGGACGCAUCACUGGUGUUCGGGUUGUCAUGCCAAUGGCACUGCCCGGUAGCUAAAUGCGGAAGAGAUAAGUGCUGAAAGCAUCUAAGCACGAAACUUGCCCCGAGAUGAGUUCUCCCUGAGACUUUAAGUCUCCUGAAGGAACGUUGAAGACGACGACGUUGAUAGGUCGGGUGUGUAAGCGCAGCGAUGCGUUGAGCUAACCGAUACUAAUGAACCGUGAGGCUUAACCUU
rnacentral:rRNA from 1 species